GGCAGUGUUUGACUCAGACAAGGCAGAUGCAAUCCCAGGGACACCCCAGGGACGGCUGCAGCUCUGGGCUAGUGGCUAUGUCAUGCAAGACUCAUGGAAACAAAGGAAUGGCUCUGUGCUCCAAGGCAAUGAAACAAAGUCUUUCACUCCCAUUUGCAGAGCUCACUGACAAACUGCAGGACUCCUUUCCUGGGUGCUGGAGGGAGAAUUUCCCUGGAGCUGGCUACAAGAAGGAAUGUCUGUACAGCCAUAUCUGCAAUCUUAUUAGCAGCAUUCAGCGAAGUGAACAUGUCCUCAGGGAUGCCCCAAGCAUGAACUCACAUCUGGGCAGUACCACCUCCAGGAUGGAGGGCACUGGGAGUCCUUCCUGGGGCUGUGGGGGUUUUUCAGGAUGUGCUGUUAUGCUUGUAGCUGUUGGGGAGUGGCUUCUCAGGAGGCUCCACCAGCCAUUUAUGAUGGGCUCAGCCACCUGAGCUUGCUGAGCCAGCCCUG
rnacentral:lncRNA from 1 species